UACAUGGGGUGCAAACGUUGCUCGGAAUCAUUGGGCGUAAAGCGCGCGUAGGCGGUCAGCACAAGUCAGUUGUGAAAUCUCCGGGCUUAACUCGGAAAGGUCAACUGAUACUGUGCGACUAGAGUGCAGAAGGGGCAACUGGAAUUCUUGGUGUAGCGGUGAAAUGCGUAGAUAUCAAGAGGAACACCUGCGGCGAAGGCGGGUUGCUGGGCUGACACUGACGCUGAAGCGCGAAAGCCAGGGGAGCGAACGGG
rnacentral:rRNA from 1 species